GACACAUAGGAGGUGCACAGAAAAUCCUUGCUAUCAGAAUGAAUGAAAGGGGAGAAUGAAGUCCAGGUCAUAGCUCCUUGGAGUCACCAACAAACAUACCUUCUCCUUCUCCUGAUUAUUUUACAUGGAAUCUCACCUGGAUAAUGAAAGACUCCUUCCCUUUCCUGUCUCAUCGCAGCCGAUAUGGUCUGGAGUGCAGCUUUGACUUCCCCUGUGAGCUGGAAUAUUCCCCUCCACUGCAUGACCUCAGGAACCAGAGCUGGUCCUGGCGCCGUGUUCCCUCUGAGGAGGCCUCCCAGAUGGACUUGCUGGAUGGGCCUGAGGCAGAGCGUUCUAAGGAGAUGCCCAGAGGCUCCUUUCUCCUCCUCAACACCUCAGCCGACUCCAAGCACACCAUCCUGAGUCCAUGGAUGAGGAGCAGCAGUGAGCACUGUACGCUGGCCGUCUCAGUGCACAGGCACCUGCAGCCCUCUGGAAGGUACAUCGCCCAGCUGCUGCCCCACAACGAGGCUGCAAGAGAGAUCCUCCUGAUGCCCACCCCAGGGAAGCAUGGUAUCUUCCAGGGACCAAGAAGAAAAGACGAAACACAAGAAAACAGAAAAAUCUGGGUCAAUGUGUUACAUGUUCAUGAUAGGCUUCGUCAGCUUGAGUCCUGGCUUUCUCUCUGAUUGAGUAACUUUGGGCAGAACUACUGGACCAAACUGAAGUCAUCAAACUUGGGCUAAGC
rnacentral:lncRNA from 1 species